UACGAAGGGACCUAGCGUAGUUCGGAAUUACUGGGCUUAAAGAGUUCGUAGGUGGUUGAAAAAGUUGGUGGUGAAAUCCCAGAGCUUAACUCUGGAACUGCCAUCAAAACUUUUCAGCUAGAGUAUGAUAGAGGAAAGCAGAAUUUCUAGUGUAGAGGUGAAAUUCGUAGAUAUUAGAAAGAAUACCAAUUGCGAAGGCAGCUUUCUGGAUCAUUACUGACACUGAGGAACGAAAGCAUGGGUAGCGAAGAGGAUUAGAUACCCUCGUAGUCCAUGCCGUAAACGAUGUGUGUUAGACGUUGGAAAUUUAUUUUCAGUGUCGCAGCGAAAGCGAUAAACACACCGCCUGGGGAGUACGACCGCAAGGUUAAAACUCAAAUGAAUUGACGGGGACCCGCACAAGUAGUGGAGCAUGUGGUUUAAUUCGAAGAUACGCGCAGAACCUUACCAACACUUGACAUGUUCGUCGCGACUCUAAGAGAUUAGAGUUUUCGGUUCGGCCGGACGAAACACAGGUGCUGCAUGGCUGUCGUCAGCUCGUGUCGUGAGAUGUUGGGUUAAGUCCCGCAACGAGCGCAACCCUCACUUUUAGUUGCCAUCAUUAAGUUGGGCACUCUGAAAGAACUGCCAGUGAUAAGCUGGAGGAAGGUGGGGAUGACGUCAAGUCCUCAUGGCCCUUACGUGUUGGGCUACACACGUGCUACAAUGGUAUCUACAACAGGAAGCAAGACUGCGAAGUUAAGCAAAUCCCUAAAAGAUACCUCAGUUCGGAUUGCACUCUGCAACUCGAGUGCAUGAAGCUGGAAUUACUAGUAAUCGCAGGUCAGCAUACUGCGGUGAAUACGUUCCCGGGCCU
rnacentral:rRNA from 1 species